GAGUUUGAUCCUGGCUCAGAUUGAACGCUGGCGGCAUGCUUUACACAUGCAAGUCGAACGGCAGCGCGGGCUUCGGCCUGGCGGCGAGUGGCGAACGGGUGAGUAAUACAUCGGAACAUGCCCACUUGUGGGGGAUAGCUCGGCGAAAGCCGGAUUAAUACCGCAUGAGAUCUACGGAUGAAAGCAGGGGACCUUCGGGCCUUGCGCGAGUGGAGUGGCCGAUGGCAGAUUAGGUAGUUGGUGGGGUAAAGGCCUACCAAGCCUGCGAUCUGUAGCUGGUCUGAGAGGACGACCAGCCACACUGGGACUGAGACACGGCCCAGACUCCUACGGGAGGCAGCAGUGGGGAAUUUUGGACAAUGGGCGCAAGCCUGAUCCAGCAAUGCCGCGUGCAGGACGAAGGCCCUCGGGUUGUAAACUGCUUUUGUACAGAACGAAAAGAGCUGGGUUAAUACCCUGG
rnacentral:rRNA from 2 species